UGGAUCACCUCCUAACAGGGAGACAACAUUGAGAUCAUGAUGUCUAUAACUAAUUUUUAGACCAUGAUCCUGUCACCUUAGGUCGAUCGGUACCUCAGAUGAAUUUCAUUAUUUAUUGGGUUUCAAUAAAUAAUGGAUUUUGAUUUUAGUUCCUAAACUUGUCUAGGUCACACCCCGCAAGGGUUACUCCUGGGCCAUUAGCUCAGGUGGUUAGAGCGCACCCCUGAUAAGGGUGAGGUCCCUGGUUCAAGUCCAGGAUGGCCCAUUCGGUGUUGGGGGUUUAGCUCAGUUGGUAGAGCGCCUGCUUUGCAAGCAGGAUGUCAGCGGUUCGAGUCCGCUAACCUUCACUGACGAAUCUUCUGACAACGAGCCAAUGGUGAGAAUCGUUGUGUGAUGUGAUUUAGAAUUUAAGUUUGCUGGCAGACCCUAGCUUCUUAUCAUUCCAGGACUCAAUCAAUUGAGAUGAGGUUGAUAGGACGCUGGGCUCACUGUAAUUCGCAAGAAUUGCAGAGAUGUUCAGCAGAACCUUGACAACUGCAUAGGUAAGUCUGGAAAGAAUAAAGCAUCUCAUGGAUGCAUGAUUCUUGGGAAUCCGCUGAUGCAAUCUGCGCGAGCAGAGAGCUGAGGUUGAUCAACGAGAAUGAUGUUUGAUUCUUGAGUCAAGAGCCGAGACUCUAUAGCGUUCUUUCGAUGUCAUCGAGUCAUCGAGAGUUUGAUUGGUGAUUCAAACCAUCUUUAAUGACAAACAAUUCAGUUUAACUGGAGAAGUUUGAGAUUGAAGCCAGGUGAAUUGCUAAGAAUACGUAUUCAACUACGUGAAGCGUUAUAGAGAUUAAUUGGUCAAGCUACAAAGGGCUCAUGGUGGAUACCUUGGCACACAGAGGCGAUGAAGG
rnacentral:tRNA from 1 species